GCCGCUAUAGCUCAGUCGGUAGAGCGCCUGCCUUGUAAGCAGGAUGCCAAGGGUUCGAUUCCUUUUGGCGGCACCA
rnacentral:tRNA from 1 species